rnacentral:rRNA from 1 species
UACAGAGGGGGCAAGCGUUGUUCGGAAUUACUGGGCGUAAAGGGCGCGUAGGCGGCCUCUUAAGUCGAACGUGAAAUCCCCGGGCUCAACCCGGGAACUGCGUCCGAUACUGGGAGGCUUGAAUCCGGGAGAGGGAUGUGGAAUUCCAGGUGUAGCGGUGAAAUGCGUAGAUAUCUGGAGGAACACCGGUGGCGAAGGCGGCAUCCUGGACCGGUAUUGACGCUGAUGAGCGAAAGCUAGGGGAGCAAACGGG